UCCAGCCUGGGUGACAGAGUGAGACUCCAUCUCGGAAAAAAAAAAAAAGAAAGAAAGAAAAGGUGGCAGCAAUAGAUUAAGAUGAUUUAAGGCUUUGAAUUCAUUAUGAAAUGAGUGCAUAGCAGAGGUAAUAUAAUUUGAAAAAAAUUGCAAUCCACUUAUCCUACCUACUUUUUAAAUAACUCACCUAAAUUUUUUCAUCCUUUUAUUAUAACUUAGAAUAAAGUGCAGAGACACAAAUCAAAACAAAACAAAAAUCCACAAGAUGGUAAAAUCUCUGUUAUGGAGCUUCUUUCCCCUGGUAAGAGAAGCAACAAGCAAGACAGAUGAAUAAACACAAUGCAUUCAGAAAGGCUUGGAAAAGAUAAAACAUGGACAUGUGACAGAGAAUGUGGGUGUUCAGGGAGGCUUCGGAGAAGGUGACAUAUGAACAGAGAUCUGAAUGGUGGAGGUGGGGGCAGCCAUGCCAAGGACUGGGGGAAGGUGGUGUGCACAGAAGGACCAGAGGUGUUGGAGUACCCAGAUACUGUUUACUCUGUGGAUACACAGAGUGAAUGGCAGGAAGGGUGGUAAGAGAUGACAUCAGGGAAGAAGGCAGAGGCACCUCAUCUAAGGCUUGUAGGACAUGGCAAUUCAAAAUCCCUAGAUUCUGAUCCACAUGAUGAUCACAGAAUGAGGACUUACUCGGAACAUGCUUGUUCACUCAGCUCAUGCCAGGCAUAGGAAACCACUGACCAAAUAAAUACAUACUGAUCAUCUAUUAUGUGCUUAAGCACCCUUACGGAAAAACUUUUUAAAGCGAUGCCAUGGAUUUUCACUCAGGAAUUUAAAGAAUGUUUUGUCCACUGUGAUUUUCAAAAUAAUAGCUAAGAACAAGGUUAAGAUCACUUCACUAAUAACCUCCAGAAUGACAGACAAUAACAAUGAUUUCCGUUUCAACAUCACAUUUAUAUGCAAUACCCAUAUUUAUUAUGCAACAUCAUAAGAGCUUUUCUAUUAAGAUCUUGGUAUUCAGCAACAAACUCUUUCUUGACUUAGUUCUAAGCCAAAUAUGACCCCUGAUCUUGCUUGGAUGGGAGAUUUGUAAAGUAUUAUGAAAAACACACUUAGUUUUUCAGCCCUAUAACAUUAGCAUACAUAUGAAUGUGUUCAGUAACCAUAAACAUCCAAUAUACAUAAGGUGGUAUUCAUACGUUUUCUGGUUGCAACAAUUACCCUUCAUUUUGUAUGAAGAGAAUAAAGGGAAGGAAACCAAGAUGAACCACGCCUGUAAUAGGGACUAGACGUGGAGUUCCCACUUAAUGCUCCCAAUAGCCCCAUGAGUAAGUAUUAUCUCUGUUUUACUGAAGUGCAGAUAAGUUGGUUAACUAGCUAGGUCAAAGCUCACACUCAUUUCCAAAUUAAUCCUUAAAGCUUCCUGACUGGGAGGAGCUGAUUAAUUAACAUUAAUUUAUUCAUCAUGCACUUUUCUAAAGCUCUUGAAAAGCCUAUUGAUCCACACUGGACUUAUCAAAGGAAAUGCACAAAAAUUUCCAAAGGGAAAUUUGCCCUCUAUUGCUGGUCAAAACAGCUUCACUGAAGAAGAGACAUACCAAAAUCUAGAAACUGAUUUUCUUUAAAAGUCUGACAAGAAAGAAAAAUCUGACAAGAAAAUUCGACUAGCCUAAAGUACAAAUGCACAGCCUCGCAGAGGGUGGUUUACAUGAGAGUUGAGAUGUUACUGGCUCGCAAAAUGAGGGUGUGCAGAAGGAGGGUUCAGAGACAGCCCAGCUUUGUCUUAGACAAAAUUAAUGUUCCCAGUCUGAACAAUGUGAACAUGGGCACAUCUUGUUUCUGCCCCUUUGAUAGGCAGCAGAUGUCACAACCAGUCAUAAAUGCAGGUCCACAGAAGUUUUCAAGAAAGGAACCUUGGGUUUGUAUCCAAGUUCUGAGCUGCUGCUGCCUCCAACACUGAGGUCCACUGAAAUAUUCCUGUCAGUAGACUUCGAGCAGGCAGUUAUUAUAAAAACGCAGUGAAAUCUGGGGCAAGGGGUGGGGGGGGGGAAUCUCUUGCAUUUUAUUUAAAUCUCUUGCACUUUAUUUAAGCCCACACAAGUACUCAUUUAGUUCUUGUUUAUUUUGCUCUUUAAUUCCUGGAAUUAUUCAGUCAGUGGUGUUUUUGGAAGUCUGUGUUCUCCAGAGUCUCCCCAUCCACAUAUUUUUGACAUGCUUGUAUGGAAAUUUUUUAAAAAUAAAGACCACGGUCAAUAGAAUUGUGCAUUUUCCUCACGAGUCGUUUUGUAAAUGAAUGAUCACGUGUGUGAUUUUUCAGAUGUCACUUGCACAACAGCAGACUAGAACUUUAAAACUCCUUGAUUUCAGUGAAAUCCAAGCUUUGCCUAUUCCCGUUCCUCUUCCAUCCAGGGGUUAUUUGGCUGAACUGUUUUCCUGUUUAAACAACUUGAACACCAACCAACUAGACAAACAGCGCUGCUUGCAAAAGAGGGCCUACUUCCUCCGGCCCCCACCCCCAUCCCAGCAACCCCACUCCGGCCGCGCACCAGCAGGGGAAAUCGCCACCAACGUCCCCGCUUCUCAUUUCAGCCCGAAAUUGCCCUGAAACGGCGCCCGUCGUGCGACUCCAAGUCCCUCAGUUCUCCGGCCAACUGGCCUAAUUUGGGGGUUCCCUCCCCGCGGAGUGGGGUCUGCGGUGAGGAUGUGGACUCCGAGGAAGACAGAGCCCUCCCUUAUUCUCGGCCACCUCCCCUCCCCGAGGGCAGGCGGGUUGCGCUUUUUUGGGAAAGAGUUCCCCAGAAGUGAUGUACGUGCUCGAGAAGGACAAGAUGUCGAUGUCUCAUCACUGAUGUUAACUUGGAUCAGUUGGUUAAGGUGGCGUUUGCCAGCCUUCUUCUUUGGAUCUACUGGCCAGAAUCCUCCUUUUCAAAGACCCCUUUCAGUGGACUAUGUCUCUUAGACAACUUUUCUCUGUUACCAGCUCCUGGAUGAAGAGUCUUUAAGCUAUGUUUGCUACAAUGUAUGCAUAAACUGUGCAAUUAUACUUCACCCAUGAGGGCCUCUGGACAACACUAGCCAGGGUCAAGCAAGGGUGCUUGUUUAAGCCUCAUGUCAUUGGCAAAAGAGUUCUAUAAAAUCAAGUCUAAACUCAACAACGUGAAAACAAAUGACCCAGUUAAAAAAAAUGGUCAGAUGAUCUGAAUACACACGUCAUCAAAGAAGUUAUAUAAUGGCAAAUAGAUGAAAAGAUGCUCAACAUCAUAUGUCAUUGCUGAAUUGUAUAUGAAAACAAAAAUGAAAUACCACUACAUACCUAUUAGAUACCAGAAUCCAAAAACACUGACAAGACCACAUGCUGGCAAAGAUGUGGAGCAAAAAGAACUCUCAUUCAAUGCUGGUGCAAAUGCAAAAUGGUACAGCCACUUUGGAAGACAAUUUGGAAGCUUCUUCCAAAACUAAACGUACUCUUACCAUACCAUCUAGCAAUCACAACUCCUUGGUAUUUAUCCAAAUGAGUUAAAAACUUACAUACACACAAAAACCUGCACAUGAAUGUUGAUAGCAGCUUUAUUCAUAAUUGCCAGAACCUAGAGGCAAACAAGAUGUCCUUCAAUAAGUGAAUGGAUAAACAAUGGCACAUCCAAACAAUGAAAUGUUACUCAGUACCAAAAUUAAAUGAGCUAUCAAGCCACAAAAAGACAUGGAAGAACUUUAAAUAUGUAUUGCUAAGAGAAAGAAGCCAAUCUGAAAAGACUGCAUACUAUAUGAUUCCAACUAUAUGACAUUUUAGACAAGGCAAAACUAUGGAGACAGUAAAAAGAUAAAUGGUUGCCAGGGGUUGGGGUGGGAAGAAGGAGGGGAUGAAUAGAUGGAACACAGAGGAUUUUUAGAGCCAUGAAAUUAUUCUGUAGGAUACUGUAAUGGUAGAUGUGUAUCACUAUACAUGUGUCAAAACCCAUAGAAUGCACAAAACGAAGAUGAACCCUAGUGUGGACAAUGGACUUUAGUUAAUAAUGUGUCAAUAUUGGCUCAUCCACUGUAACAAAUGUACCUGCUAAUGCAAGAUGUUAAUAAUUGGGGAAACUGGGGUAUGUGUAAGGAGGUACAUGGGAGCUCUGUACCUUCUGCUACAUUUUUUGUAUACAUCUAAAACUGCUCAAAAAUUAGUCUAUUUUUAAAAAAAUAAAAUCUGACCCUUUCCAA